rnacentral:precursor_RNA from 8 species
CUGUGUCUAGUGCCGUUAUGUGUAGUGCCUUAUUCAGGAAGGUGUUACUUAAUAUAUUAAUAUUUGUAAGGCACCCUUCUGAGUAGAGUAAUGUGCAACAUGGACAUCAUUUGUGGU